ensembl:misc_RNA Metazoa_SRP Metazoan signal recognition particle RNA
GCCGGGCAUGGUACUGCAUGCCUGAGUCCCAGCUACCUGGGAGACUAAGGCAGGAAGAUUGCUCGAGCCCAGGAGUUUGAGGCCACAGUGAACUAUGAACAUGUCACUGCACUCCAGCCUGGGCAAUAGAGUGAGACCCUAUCUCAAAAAAAAAAAAAAAAAAAAAAAAGUUCAACAUCAAUAUGGUGACCUCCCAGGAGCAGGAGACCACUAGGUUGCCUAAGGAGAGGUGAAUCGGCCCAGGUCAGAAAAAGAGCAGGCCAAAAUUCCCAUGCCGAUGUGUAGUGGGCUAACGCUUGUGAAGCCACUGUGCUCCACCCUGGGCAACAUAGCAAGACCUCAUUUCU